AUUGAACGCUGGCGGAAUGCUUUACACAUGCAAGUCGAACGGCAGCACGGGGCAACCUGGUGGCGAGUGGCGAACGGGUGAGUAAUACAUCGGAACGUGCCCAAUCGUGGGGGAUAACGUAGCGAAAGUUACGCUAAUACCGCAUACGAUCUACGGAUGAAAGCGGGGGAUCGCAAGACCUCGCGCGAAUGGAGCGGCCGAUGUCAGAUUAGGUAGUUGGUGGGGUAAAGGCUCACCAAGCCAACGAUCUGUAGCUGGUCUGAGAGGACGACCAGCCACACUGGAACUGAGACACGGUCCAGACUCCUACGGGAGGCAGCAGUGGGGAAUUUUGGACAAUGGGCGCAAGCCUGAUCCAGCCAUUCCGCGUGCAGGAUGAAGGCCUCGGUGUAACUGCUUUGU
rnacentral:rRNA from 1 species